rnacentral:rRNA from 1 species
AGUGAACGCUGGCGGCGUGCUUAACACAAGCAAGUCGAACGAGAACGGGUUAUAGCUUGCUAUAAUUGUCAGCUAAGUGGCGCACGGGUGAGUAAUGUAUAGGUAAUAUGCCUCUUACUAAGGGAUAACAAAUGGAAACGUUUGCUAAUACCUUAUACUCCUUAUUAACAUAAGUUAAUAAGGGAAAGAUUUAUUGGUAAGAGAUUAGCCUGUAUUGUAUCAGUUAGUUGGUGGGGUAAUGGCUUACCAAGACUAUGACACAUAACUGGUUUGAGAGGAUGAUCAGUCACACUGGAACUGAGACACGGUCCAGACUCCUACGGGAGGCAGCAGUGGGGAAUAUUGCACAAUGGGCGAAAGUCUGAUGCAGCAACGCCGCGUGGAGGAUGACACAUUUCGGUGCGUAAACUCCUUUUAUAUGAGAAGAUAAUGACGGUACUAUAUGAAUAAGCACCGGCUAACUCCGUGCCAGCCGCCGCCGUAAUAC